rnacentral:rRNA from 1 species
AAAAAGAAAUUAAUGUACACGGAGGAUGCCUAGGGUUUUUGCGGCGAUGAAGGACGUGCCAGACUGCGUUAAGCUUCGGGAAGCUGUCAAGAAGCGUUAUACCCGGAGAUGUCCUAAUGGGGAAACCCUACCUACAGCAAUGUAAGGUAACCAUUUGCUAAAGUUUCUUGUCGUAAGACAGGGAAAGAAGGCAUUUAGGAGCACACCCAGUGAACUGAACCAACUUAGUAACUGGAGGAAAAUAAACAAAUAUGCAUUUCGUUAGUAGCGGCGAGCGAAAGCGAAGAAGCCCAAACCUAAGAUUAAAUCAAUCUAUAGGGGUGCGGACAGCCCAUAGUCACUUUAAGUGGCAAGAAGUCACAAAGCACUUUCAUAGGAGAACAUUUCUGGAAAGUUAGGUCAUAGCGAGUAAUAGCCUCGUAUCCAAAAUGAAAAUGCCUUCUUGGGUUGAUCCAGAGUAACAUGGGACACGAGAAAUCCUGUGUGAAGCAGGCUUGACCAUAAGCCAAGGCUAAAUACGCAAAAACACCGAUAGUGAACUAGUACCGUGAGGGAAAGGUGAAAAGAACCCCUGUUAGGGGAGUGAAAUAGAAACUGAAACCGUGUACAGACAAGCUGACAAAGGGGGUCCGCCGCAAGGCGGAUGUCCUAAUGUCGUGCCUAUUGAAGAAUGAGCCAACGAGUUAAUUCUGCGCGCAUGCUUAAGUUGCUUAUAAACAACGCAAGCUUAGGGAAACCGAGUCUUAAAAGGGCGUUCGUGCGUAGAAUUAGACCCGAAGCCAGGUGAGCCAAUCAUGAGCAGGUUGAAGUCGACCGAAAGGUAGAUGGAGGACCGAACCGGUGUAUGUUGAAAAAUGCUCGGAUGACUUGUGAUUAGUGGUGAAACGUCAAACGAACCUGGUGAUAGCUGGCUCUCCCCGAAAUAUAUUUAGGUAUAGCUCCGCGCUUUGUGCGUCGCUAUGCCCGCCUAACGGCGGGCUAAUGCCUCGCGUGACGAUCUAACGGGAGGUAAAGAUACUGGAAAGAAUUGGGGCUCGCAAGGGUACCCAUUCUUACCAAACUCAGAAUGCUCGUUAGUGGUGCGGGAGUCAGCAAUGGGGGGCAAUCUCCUGUUGCAAGAGGGAAACAGCCCAGACCAUCGAAUAAGGUCCCUAAUUUCUGCUAAGUGGGCAAGGUAGUGAAACCGUUUAAACAGCUAGGAGGUUGGCUUAGAAGCAGCCAUCCUUUAAAGAAAGCGUAACAGCUCACUAGUUUAACGGUUUUGCGCCGACAAUUUAACGGGGCUAAGCAGAAAACCGACUUCGUGGGUGUGUGGAGGGUUUAAGGUUGUGAGAGAUUGGCAAGAUGUGGGUUAAGGAGCGACUUUGCGCAGUAGCGCAGCGUCGCAACGAACCCACUCGAGCAAUCUCAUAGCUUUUAAUCCUUCACACACGGUAGGGGAGCUUUGAUGUCUCCGCCGAUAGGCGGAUUUAAGCAGUGAAGGUGUGCUGUAAGGCAUGCUGGAGCGUCAUCAAGUGAGUAUGUUGGCUUGAGUAACGAGAGCCGCCUGAAAACGGCGGCCGCCGUAAGUCUAAGGUUUCCUCCGCUAUGUCAGUCAACGGAGGGUUAGUCGGUCCUAAGGUAAGGUCAAAAGGCGUAGCCGAUGGACAGCAGGUUAAUAUUCCUGCACUGGUGUGGAACCGCUUUACCAAUGGAGUAACGGCGCGCGGUAGGUUAAGCCGGUUAAAGAUUCCGGUCCAAAAAGUUAGCUAGUUCCCGUAGGCAAAUCCGCGGGAACGUUGGAGAGAUCCUGAAUGUGAGCUUAUGGGAAGGCUCGUAAUUGAGUCAACUUAAUUGAGUCGUGCGUCCAAGAAAAACUUCUAGGGAGGUUUUAUACCAUCCGUACCACAAACCGACACAGGUAGACGGGUAGAGAAUACCAAGGCGAUCGAGUGAACUGUGAUUGAGGAACUAGGCAAAUUACAUCCGUAACUUAGGGAAAAGGAUGCCCGUCCGCGCGCAAGCAAAGGCGGGGGCACAAAAAUGGUUCAAGCGGCUGUUUAACAAAAACACAGAUCUCUGCUUAACUCGUAAGAGGAAGUAUAGGGGUCGACGCGUGCCCAGUGCCCGUAAGUUAAAGCCUGAGGUGACGGCUGUCGCAAGACAGCAACAGCUUUGGGUCUAAGCUCGGGUGAACGGCGGUCUUAACUAUAAGGAUCCUAUGGUAGCGUAAUCCCUUGUCGGGUAAGAAGAAAAACGAACCCGUAUCGGCUUAUAACGGGAAAGUCUUUAAGUCAGUGCUUAUAGGGAGCACAUGUGCAGGUAGACUUAAUGACAAUCACGUGGGAAUCCCGCCUUGGCGGGGACCCGUAUCGACUGUUCCACUAAAUUGUGUUACAACAAUGUGGACGAUGCAGUUGGUCCAUUGACUUUAUGGACAGACUUAAACUGCAUAAUACGCCGAUGUCUUAUCAAAUGCCUAAAAUUCACAUUCCAACCUACAUUACCGCCUUUACUGACGGUGAAGGUUGCUUUUGCGUUUCAACAAAUAAAAGCGCAAGACAUAAACUGGGAUGGGAAAUUAGACCAAGUUUCUCCGUGUCGCAAAACAAAGCUAGAGCGCAAGUACUUUAUUUAAUGAAAGACUAUUUUGGGUGCGGUUCAAUCCGGCCUGACAGGUCCGACAAGACAAUUAAGUAUGAGGUAAGAUCUCUAAAUGAUUUGCUGACCAGGAUUAUUCCUCACUUUGAGGAGCAUCCUUUAAUAUCGACCAAGAACGAGUCUUUUAGAUUAUUCAAAGAAAUAUGUUUGAUGAUGAAAAACCGUCAGCAUAAAUUGACUGAAAAUGUCGAAAAGAUCCGUUUCCUAAGUCGCCAAAUAAACGGGGAACAUAAGACAAAGAUAUAGUCAGCGCCAUUAGCAAUAAUGGAUAAAUCCAUUGUGCGCUUUGCGCUAAAUGGACAAAAAGCGAAGUUCCGACCCGCACGAAACGCGUAACGACUUGAGCACUCUCUUAAUCACAGGCUCGGUGAAAUAGAACUACCGGUGAAGAUGCCGGUUAC